rnacentral:rRNA from 1 species
GGUCAAGCUACUAAGAGCGUAGAGUGGAUGCCUUGGCACCGAGAGCCGAUGAAGGACGUGAUAAGCUGCGAAAAGCUACGGGGAGUUGCAAAUAAACUUUGAUCCGUAGAUGUCCGAAUGGGGAAACCCGGCUGUGCAAA